GGCCGUGUGGCGAAAUGGCAUCGCGUCUGACUACGAAUCGCGACAUCAGGAGAUUGCAGGUUCGACCCCUGUCUCGGUCA
rnacentral:tRNA from 1 species